AUGUUUUUAAUAUCCAAGAUAAUUGUUCAAGUUACAGUUCUGCAUGAGACUAUAAAACAAUCCAGAAAAACUGACAGCCUAGCAUGUCCAGCAAAAGAAGCAGAAAAAACCGCGAAACCAAUUCCAUUACCCUGCACAACAAAUAAACUGCAGCCCUGUACAUGGAAGACGUUAGCAAAUCAAAAAGUCAGGGAAGCACAGAAGAACAAUAAUGUUGAACCGGUAUUAAAUCAGAGUAAGGCACAACAGAAGAGAAAAUUCAGGGAACCGUGA